UUCAUGUUGGCUCACCUGAAUGCUAGUUUGAGGUCCACAAGUUCACUGUCUUUAAGCUGGAGGUCAUCUUCCAGCUUCUCUAGGAUCACCGAGUACGACUCACUCACCUUCUUCUUCCAUUCAUCUUUAGCAGCAAACACAAAUGGUCUACUAGACAUGAUUCAAAAGUAUAGGCUCAAACCAUUCAAAACAACUGAACCUCACACACUAGAGCUAUAACUCACAAACAAAAGCUGUAACAGUACCUGUACACGUCUGUGAUGGUCUUGAUUUGUAAUUCCCCAUCGAUAAAGUCUGUGACUGAUGAUAUGUGCAGUGUUGUCGUUGGUGAACAGGCAGGCAUACAAUCUCUCACUCGGUCACAAUUGCACUCGUCCAGAUGAAGAGGAUCAAGGCUGUGGGCUAAAAAUAAUAACGGCCAACGAACAACCCCGACAACUGAUCUCCCAUCAUCGCUGCAGAUCCGCCCAGGACGGCCUGCAGCAUCUUGAGAGACACAGAGAACGAGCUCUUUGCAUCAGAGCAAACUGGAAACAAACAGGCGUUCCACAAACUACAGCGGGACGUGUCACCGGAGAACCUCAAGACUUGGUCUCCCAGCCCCCAGCUGGAUGUGCAGGCGUCCAGAGUCACCCCGCACAGGGUCAGUCCUUCCAUAGACGCAGCAGCUUCCACGCCGGACUUUAGGUUGUCGUCGACUCCAAAAGCGACUGUUACAAAGCCGCUUCUGUUCUGCUGGGUCACACAAAGUGUAUGUAUAGAGACUCCGUCGGGCACUGACAAGCCUGGACUGACCCAGCAUCGGCUGACCAGUGUGCCCUUGCCUACAGACACCCCCUCUUCCAGUCUGGAGUACUCCACCACGGACCCGGCUCCUACAGAGCAACUGGAAAGGAGGAGGCUGGCUAGCACACAGGAAUCCUCAUUUAUGUUUUUAUUAGAGAGCACACUGAAAUUCCACGAUAGGAGGUUCAGCAUACUCCUCAAGCCAUCAACAUCGGUGAGAUGAGAGAGGUACUCCGACGUGGUUCCUAUGUGAUAAAACUUUGAAUUGUUGAGAACAAUCACGUUCAACGGAGUCCCUCUGAGAAGAUGGAAAAUCUUUUGGCGGACGUCCACUAGGCUACUAUCAUGUUUGGUGACGUUGGCUGUGUUGCAGGUGUGUUCCAUCGUGGCUUGCUGGCCUAACGCUUGGAGAAAAUCGCUGUAUGCGUCAAUCUCGCACUCUAAAGGUCCUAGCUCUUUGAGCACAUUAAGGAGACAUUGAGAAGUAUCAAAGUCCAUGUAAUAGGUGCUGUCUGUGUAGACAAACUCUGGAUCACAUAUUGGAAAACAAUCGCUUUUCUUCUUACAAACAGCAUCGCUUUCUCGCAUUUUUUCAAUGCUCGGUUUGUGAAGAAAGCGCAAGCAGAUUUUCGUCUCCAUUUUUCGAAAAGCCGAGUCCUCAGGUGGCUCCAAGACGAACACGCCGUGGGUAGUGCCAACAUACAGCGGCGAGGGGUGGGCUAGAGCAGUGAAGCCGGGUUUGUCGAACACCAGCCUUUCGUCAUUUGCGAUACUGUAGAGCUCGAUGUCGUCGGCGCAAGUCACCAGCACGCCAGGCUUCAUGUGAGAGGGGAAAUCCACAUAUAUGGCCAGCUUGAGCUCCAGCAUUUGGUAGAGUGGGUCACCCAGCGGCAAGGUGGUGAAGAUCUUCCCGAAGGCGCUGGCACUGGGCAGGCGCUGACUCAACCCUCCUGGAGGGAAAUUUUAGGGUUCUCAUGAACAUAUAUACCGUUUUUUUCGGACUAUAAGUCGCAGUUUUUUUUCAUAGUUUGGCCGGGGGGUGUGACUUGUACUCAGGAGCGACUUAUGUUUGAAAUUAUUAACACAUUACCGUAAAAUAUCAAAUAAUAUAUUUUAGCUCAUUCACGUAAGAGACUAGACGUAUAAGAUUUCAUCGGAUUUACCAAUUAGGAGUGACAGAUUGUUUGGUAAACGUAUAGCAUGUUCUAUAUGUUAUAGUUAUUUGAACGACUCUUACCAUAAUAUGUUACCUUAACAUACCAGGCACCUUCUCAGUUGGUUAUUUAUGCGUCAUAUAACCUACACUUAUUUUAAAUUGCCUUUCAAAUGUCUUCUUGGUGUUGGGUUUUAUCAAAUAAAUUUCCCUAAAAAAUGGUACUUAUACUCCAGUGCGACUUAUAUAUGUUUUGUCCUUCUUUAUUGUGCAUUUUCGGCAGGUGCGACUUAUACUCCGAAAAAUACGGUGUUGUGUGGUUGCAAGUCAUCUUUGAAAACUGGUGUCUAAUAAGGUCAUUGUGGGUGUUACACAGUAUAUUGAAACGUACAGAGCCAGAGUGGAAGUGUUUUUGCACUUCUGUGUUACUCUUCGUAUUUAAUGCACAGUAAAACCUGUUUCUUGUGACUUUGAACACAAACAUAAGAGGUGAUAGGUAAUAAAGGAUUUUUCAACCUCCA